UACGUAGGGUGCGAGCGUUGUCCGGAAUUAUUGGGCGUAAAGGGCUCGUAGGCGGUUUGUCGCGUCGGGAGUGAAAUCCACUGGCUUAACUGGUGGCUUGCUUUCGAUACGGGCAGACUAGAGUGUGGUAGGGGAGACUGGAAUUCCUGGUGUAGCGGUGGAAUGCGCAGAUAUCAGGAGGAACGCCGAUGGCGAAGGCAGGUCUCUGGGCCAUUACUGACACUGAGAAGCGAAAGCAUGGGGAGCGAACAGG
rnacentral:rRNA from 1 species